rnacentral:rRNA from 1 species
UACGAAGGGGGCUAGCGUUGUUCGGAAUUACUGGGCGUAAAGCGUAUGUAGGCGGAUCGUUAAGUCGGGGGUGAAAUCUCCCGGCUCAACUGGGAGGGUGCGCCGAAUACUGAGAGGCUAGAGUGCGGGAGAGGAAAGUGGAAUUCCCAGUGUAGAGGUGAAAUUCGUAGAUAUUGGGAAGAACACCGGUGGCGAAGGCGGCGCUCUGGACCGAGACUGACGCUGAGGCGCGAAAGCGUGGGGAGCAAACAGG